rnacentral:rRNA from 1 species
CCUACGGGAGGCAGCAGUAGGGAAUAUUGCUCAAUGGGGGAAACCCUGAAGCAGCAACGCCGCGUGGAGGAUGAAGGUUUUCGGAUUGUAAACUCCUUUUGUUAGAGAAGAUAAUGACGGUAUCUAACGAAUAAGCACCGGCUAACUCCGUGCCAGCAGCCGCGGUAAUACGGAGGGUGCAAGCGUUACUCGGAAUCACUGGGCGUAAAGAGCGCGCAGGCGGGAUAGCAAGUCAGAUGUGAAAUCCUAGGGCUUAACCAUAGAACUGCAUUUGAAACUGUGAGUCUAGAGUAUGGGAGGGGUAGGUGGAAUUCUUGGUGUAGGGGUAAAAUCCGUAGAGAUCAAGAGGAAUACUCAUUGCGAAGGCGACCUGCUAGAACAUAACUGACGCUGAUGCGCGAAAGCGUGGGGAGCAAACAGGAUUAGAUACCCCAGUAGUC